rnacentral:lncRNA from 1 species
UAUGAGAAGGCAAGUGAGGAUGGAUCAGAUCCCCGUGGCUACCUGGAGCUUGCAGUUAAUAUCACCAAAGAUAUCGAAAGUCACCUUCUCAAUGCAUAACGCCAAGACCAUAUGUACCGUUUGCUAGUAUUUCUCUCUUAAAUAAAGUUUGGAACUUGGAUGUGCAUCUAUGUACUAUCUCGACCUUUUAAUAAACGCAAAUUCCAGCUGUACUGGAGUUGGUGACUAAUGCCGAGAAGACAAACUAGGUUCCCGAUCCUCAGUUAUUUAUGCAAUAAUAUUAAUUAGUGCAUGCGUGUGAUUAGUUGUAUGGUUCUGGGAGUUGCUUUGUGAUUGUUAAUCGGUGUCUUUUGUAGUGGGAUUAUUACAUGCAUGUAAUGUGAAGAACAUAUGAUCCAUGAGGAAAUAAAUUAAAUGAAAAUUACCCAGGCUCCAUCAUGAGGAGCCUUUGAGCAUGCCCACAAGCCUACGUUCCUGCAUUCAAGUCACAUAUGUGAAAAUUCCACUUUGCACAUAAUCUAAAUAAUUUAUCUAAAAAUCUAAGAAGUAAUCUCUCUCUCCAUCUAUGUCUCUCUCUCCCCAUCUAUAUGUACCUCAAAUGAAGAGGUAAGGUAAUGUAAAAUCCCCACCUCAAAUUUAGGGAUAUUUAUAUAAUUUGAAAAUUUUAAAAAGACCUACAUUAAUUUUGUAAAUAUUUAUGUAAUCAACUUUCUCAGAUUAAUUAAAUAAAAAAUUGACCAAGAUGAUUAAAAAUGCAAAUUUGAUGAGGACAUGAAGUAAAAAGUGGUAGGGUUUAAGGACAAUGGCUUCUACUGAAUUUUGGUGAGGUGGUGAUACAAUGAGGAAAAUAGAUUAAUAAAGUUUAUCCAUGGAAAUAGAAAAUAGAAAACAAAAAAUAUAAAAUAAUAAUAAUAUUCAUGUUAAUCAUUUAAUAAAUAUAAUAAAUGCAAUUAUAUAUGCUAAGUGAAAAUAACAAUAUUAUUAUUAUUAUUAUUAAUGCUUAUGAUAGGUGAGAAUUAAGUCUUUUAGAAAUUUGAGUAAUUUUUUCAAGGUAAAGCUUAUAGUUCAUUAAGUCAUUUUAUAAUUCCUUAUAUAUUUUUUUAUUGAUUUUUAAAGUAUCAAAAUGUGUAAAUUCUUUAAAGUGGAUCAAAUAGUUUUUUUUUUUUUUGAAAUAUUUUGUGAUUUGUUUGGUUGUUAUGAAAGUGAAUUUUAUUACUUAAUUUAUUAUAAUGAUUUUAAAACUCUAGUUAUUAGUGGUUUUAGUCAACAAGGAUAAGUUAUUAACCUUCUUUACCUUUGGUCAGUGAAGGGAUGUAGUAUAACACUAGCCAAUAAAUGUGUCAUUGGUCUUGUAUACUAUUGAUUAGAAAUUGUUAUGUCCACCAAUGAGAGUAUUAAAGUGAGGUGAGCCACCUAAUGUAAGUCCCAAUAUUUGGGCACAACGUUAUUAUUAAUUAAUAAACAAAAAUAAAUAGUUUAUUUAUAAAAAUUUUUUUCUAAAUAUAAAUUGAGUAUGCAAAUUGUAUUUUUUAAUUCUAUCUUUAAAUUUAAAGUGUUUAAUCUUUUGAAGAAAGUGAAUUUAAUUUUUUGAAGAAAGUGAAUUUAAUUUUUGAAUUAAAUAAAUUAACCUGAUAAUUGAUUUUUAUAAAAAUUUGAUAUCUCUUAGAAUUUAAUUCUCUACAAUAUAUACCUGAUUUUUUUCAUUGAACUAUUUUUUCUUAUUGAACCAUUGAAGUCACCCUUCUUUAUUAUUCCCCUUUUCAUAUACAAAUGGUAUAAGUGAGAAGGGAUUACGGGAGGAGAAAUGUUUCUAUUAUAAACAACUUUGGAAUUGAAUUAUGUUGGAUUGUGAAACGUGAAUCGGUUUAAUUUAUUGUAUUUUGCAAGGAAUGCUAGAGGUCGAGUGUCUAAUUGAGCUUGCGGGGAUCAAGAGUCUUGAUCGGUUCGUUGGGACUUGGGAUUGAGUUGUCCAAUCAGCUCAUGGGGUUAAAGGAAUAUCCUUCGAUUUUUUUUAAUACGAUGAAUAACGAGUUUGUCCUAAUUGUAUAUUUAAUCUUAUUAUAAUUUAAAGUUUCUUUUUAGAGAGUGUGUGACUGCAAUCGAAAGGAUAAUGAGUGUUUAGUACUCGUCUUAUUUUUUUCUGAACCAAAUUAAAAAUCUAUUGUUUUUCUUUAUUUUCUAAUCGUGUGUGCAUGAUUUGAUCAACAAAUUAUUUAUAGGAUUGUUUACUUAAAUUUGAUUGUAAUUUAUUUAAGUUUUUAGGAGAAUCAUUAAAUUUAUUAUUACAAUAUUUUAUUAGUUUUGAAUUUGUUAUUUAAAGUGAUUCAUUUACUUGGUUCAAAGGUUUGACAUAUAAAGUCACCGUGGUUCCCUUGGUGUCGCGGGUGAUUUUGUAAGUGCCUUCGGACUACAGAAUAUUAAUUAACCUACCAAUCUUCAAUGUAAUCUAAGAUGCAGAAAGAUCUUGUGGGUUAAGGUCAAGUGGGCGCUUCAAUAUUUAUCAUGUCUUCAAAAAAAACUUCAGGGCCCCAGUCCAGAUUCUCAGAUAUGGAUUCUAACAGUUGCUACCAAUCACGGGGGUGAAAACAAAUCAGUGUCGCAGAAAUCGCUAUCAAUGUGGUACUGGAAAAAAAAGAAGAGAUUCCUCCACUUGUUCUUGAAAUUUAUCUGAACGCAUGCAAUAAAUCAAUGCUCCAUAAUCUCCUGCACAUGCAAAUUAAAAUCAAAAUCAGGCCAUUGGCCUCUCACAUUACCAUUCUUGGCCGUUUUCUGGUGUGCAUAUAAAGAGUAAUAACCACACCAUCCAUCUUUUACUCUGGUUGUCACACUCCCACCACUCUCCCACCACUUCUUCCCUAAUCUCCUAACAUCAAAUACAAAAAUGCCACAUCCUUAUUAUUGAAAAUUAAAUUCCCAUACAUAUAAAUCUUAUGCCAGAUUUUUUGUUGAUUGGAUGAUAUUCGGCCAUAUAAAAUUCAGUAUCAAUCACAAACAUUCGUUAUCCAAUCUUGAUACCGAAGAGGAUAGAGUAUCAAUCCAUCUAUGGGCCCGGUGCACCAGGCCUUCCGCCUAUAAAAGUUUUCUAGGGUGGUGAACUAUAUUCUUCAAACACAGCCUUGGCUAGUUACUAUCUGGUUUCCAAAGAAAGAAGAAAUGGCUCAGAUAGAUAAGAUGGAAACCCAUGUAGAGAAAAAGUCCCCUGCCAAUGAGUUCUACGAGGUCUUCAGCAGCAAAGCUCAUCUCAUUCCCAAGGCCUGCCCUGACAAAAUCAAGAGCAUCGAAGUGGUUGAAGGUGAUUGGAAGAGUGUGGGCUCUGUCAAGCUCUGGACUUACUGUAUCGGUAAGGCAACGCUAACCAUUAUUCCCAUGCCACCCUCAAUCAAACAAAAUAAUACACUCAGCACAUGGACCUUCUUGUUUUUAAUUAUUAUUGCUGUGGAAGAUAAUAAUAACAAAACAAAGGGAAUGACCCCUUCUGAUACGGGUGCCUCCUCAUAUUAGUUUUUUGAAGUUCUCCAUGCAAACUAAAGUAGAAAUCAAUCUUUAGGCACAUCCCUUAUCUGAGCUUCACAUGACCUUAGUUUCAUUUUAAAUUAACCUGCAGGAGGAAAUACUUCGUCUAGCAAGGAGAGGGUGGAAAAGAAAGACGAUAAGAACAAGUCCAUCACUUUCAAGGCUCUGGAUGGAGAGGUCAUGAAGGAUUUCAAGAGCGUCAUCUCCAUCCUUGAAGUGAGUGCAAAGGAUGACGGCAGCCUGGUGAAAUGGACUUUGGAAUAUGAGAAGUCAAAUGAGAAACUCCUACCUCCAGAUGCUUACCUCAGCCUUGUAAUUAGUAUGAGUAAAGAAAUCGACGCUUACCUUCUCAAGGCAUAAGCCGCAUAACAAGCCCUAUAUCCUUGACUUGAUAUGAAAGCAUCCUAGCCUGGGUCCUCCUGGGAAUAACGGAGUUGCUAUGCGUACCUCCAUAUUAUAUUAUCGACACCUACUGGCUACUGCUGUACUCCAUGUAACUUCUUGCUGUACUUAAUUAUAUGAGCUUCCUGAAUUAAUGUUGGAAUGAUAAAUCAAGCUUUAUGGUAGAAUCAAAUGAUUGCUCUAUCAUGGAAUAAAUUUCGCAAUAAAAAUAAAUAUUAGAGGAGAGUUAUGAAACGAAGCUUUUUUUUCUGCAUCAAAUUAACUUUUCAUACACUGUUUUUAAAACAAAUCAACAUACAAUGAUCUUAUGUUGUACCUUUUCCGUUGCAGAUUGCUUUUAAAAAUGUUCUCCCCACAGGCACUUCUAUGGUAUCUUUUCAAAAUUGCUAUUAUAUAUGUUUAAUUAACCAUUCAUUUUGGUCUAAAGCUAGGACGAACUUCUAAGACUGCCACGGAGACUCUGGAAAUCAACAGAUGAAGAAAAAAAUAAAAUAUAUCCAUGACUUCCAAGGUUUUGGAAGCAGAGGUCAUGAAUCAUUUCAAGAAGAUUCAAGUCAUCCAUGCAAGUAACAGCAAAGGAUAAGCGCAGCUAGGUGAAAUGGAGACUGGAUAUUGAGGGUCACUAUCUCAGAUUCUCAAGGCAUAGCAUUAAAAACAUAUCCUUUAAUUGGUAGUAUAAUCUCAAACUUGUAUGUAAAGACCAGACCGUGGAAGUGCAUAUAUGCAUUUUAUUCUUCAAUAAGCGCAGGCUUAGGGGGUAGUUCAAUAACCUCUGGGCUUAGUCAAUCCCGAGAAGAUAUUAAUAAAUUUCCCUGGAUUAUUCCUCUCAUGAAUAUCAGUGCCUGUAAUUUGGUUGUGUGCUAACGGGAGUUGCCUCUUGCGAUCGGUUGGGUUCUUUAAUAAACGCAUUAUUAGGUAUGAAUGAUCAGGAAAUUGAUAAGUAAAAAACAAUUUAAUUAUUUCACUUAAGUCAUAAACCAUUAUGAGGAGCCUUGGAAUAUAUGCAUGAGUCUAGAUUCUCGCAGCCACUAAUCACGUAGUCAAAAUUGGCCAGUCGCAAACAUUCCAAUCAUUCUUUAUGAUAAGAAAGAAGAGUUCACUCUUCUUUUUCUCGAGUUUUUUAUUUGGAGAGAGCAAUUUAUCAGCCUCACAUUUUGAGACCUUUCUUGGCACAUCACUUUCAGAAUCUGAUUUCCUAGCUCCACUAUAGAAGUAAAGCCAGUUGGGUAUCACAUUCUUGUUUUAUGUCUCCUUGAGUGGGUCGGGUGUAUAUAAAAAUUUGCCAGUUGAAGAUUUUCUUUGUUAUGCUAGUCUUUCUUUUUCUAACCUCCUGAUAUCAAAUGGGAAAAUGCCAUAUCGUUACUGGACAAUUGACCCAUAAUGGAGAGACUUUUGUUGGUUGGACUUGGGCUUUUAUAUAACUCAGCAACUAUCAUAAUUAUAGGAGAAAUUUGAAGUAACCAUAUUGAUUUGGGUCUACCAAGAAGCAAGGUGAAUCGUAACAUAUCAUGCAUAUAACUUGAUUCAAUUAUUUUAUAUUCUACUUGUUUCUUAUGUAUUUUUACUUUUAUCAAAUAGUUUAGAUAUCAUUACCAAAUAUUCUCCUGACAUUUUCCUAUUAUUUCUGUAAGAUGCUAUAAUCUACACCCAAAGUAGUGGACCACUUACACUUUAUUAUGUACUAACCACGAUCAUAACUUACAUUCUCCACCUUGGCCUCUCUCUUAUCCCAAAAAGUAAAGACUCAGGGUUCGUAUCCCUUCCCUUCUGUCUAUAUAGGUCUAAGAGUAGUCAAGUGUUUCCUUCAAUAGCCUUCAUAUUCUUGGCAGUAACUAGGUACUUGGUUUUCAAACACAACAAAAAUAAUGGCUCAAAUUGCCAAGAUGGAGGUCCAAGCAGAGAUCAAGUCCCCUGCCAGUAAGUUCCACGAGGUCUGUAGCCGUAAAGUUUAUCUCGUACCCAAGGCUUGCCCUGAAAAAAUUAAGAGCAUUGAAGUAGUUGAAGGUGACUGGAAGACUGUGGGCUCUGUCCAGCUUUGGACUUAUUUCAUCGGUAAGGCAAAAUCCAUCAUUCCACGCCUCCCCCAACAAACACAAGGACACAGAGCUCAAUUGUACUUCUAUUAUUAUUACUAUUAUUAGGAAAUAAUGAUAAUCUAAUGGUAAUGUGACUCUACUCAUGCCGAUAUAAACCCCGUAAUCUUGAUCUCAAAUUGCUAUCAAACAAAAGAAUAUCAAAUAAAGGUAAAGUGUGUCCCCUAUAUUUAUACGUAGAUAGAUGAGUUCUAAGCUUAGCACCAUGUUUUCCAUUUGAAAAACAGGAGGAAAUACCGAAGAGGCUAAGUUGGUGGUUGAAAGGGUAGACGAGGAAAACAAAACGGUCACUAUGAACGUUGUGGAAGGAGAUAUCGUGAAGUAUUUCAAGAUCUUCAAGUGCACUAUUCAAGUAACCGUAAAGGAUAAGGGCAGCUUGGUGACAUGGAGUGUGGAAUAUGAGAAGCUAAAUGAGAGUGGCCCCGCUCCAGAUGCUUACCUCAACUUUGCAAUGGGUAUCGUUGAGAACGUGGAUGCUUACCUUCUCAAGGCAUGACAACAAAGGCGUAUUCAUGAGUCAUGACAUGGUAUGAAGCACUGGUACAACAAAAACUUGGGAAUAAUGUACCACACGCCAUGUCCUCAACUUCUACUGGUCAUCGCUAUAAUAUUAAAAGUAACUUCUUAUUCUACUUAUAUACCUUCCAAGUACUUUGUGUCUUGAAUGUUAUUAUCUAAAAAUAAAAAUAGAAAAUCUCGAAGAAGAGCAUUGUCCUUCGACACUUUUCUUUCUUUCUUUCUUUCUUCACUGCUGAGAAUCUCAACGUACGACUACCAUUUGCAUUAUGGACCCAUGACUGCCAUCCUUUGACCACAUUUGUUGCCCUCCCACCAAACUCCUACGCGUCAAAAUUUCUAUUGUUGCUUGAACAAUAUUUUCAUUUGAAAAACAAGGAAACGAUUUAAAAAUUCUUAUCUCAUGUCUAGUUACCCCGGUCGACCAUAUAAAGUACCACUUGAUCACUCUAGUCUCCUUUGCUAGCCCAUGGGCAAUGCAAUACCCAGCAGGUCCCAGUAACCAACUCUAUGUUCCUCCGAAAAUGAAACAAAUCAGGUCGUUUCAGGGAUGCAUUUGAUCUCACCCUUUUGUUUUGUGUCCGUUAUUUUUUAUUUUAAUAUCACAUGUUUAUAUUUUAAUCUCAUUCUUUACACCUGGAUUUGCUGAUAAAGGCAACUUUCUUUUUGAGCUUUGAUCGAGAUUUUUAUGAAAUUCCUGUGAUAUUACCGUCCUGCUCCUGCUUAAGAAUGUAACUUUGAUUUUGCUUUUAGUGAAGUCUUUAGGUGUUGUUUAUUCCCCAAAAUCUUUUGAUGUUUCUGAAAUUGCUUCAGUGGACUUUGAGAGGUUGCAGGUACCUCUUUUCUCCUGAAAUAGAAUUUGUUUCAGUGGAGCAAGACAACAGGAUGAGCAAAAAAUAGAACCAAUUUUAUUGAUAUAUAUCAGGUUUUUGAGACGUUGAAGAACAUUUCUAACAACUUUUUUUGAUGGGUGACCAAGCCUAUUAUGCCACAAUGCAUAUACAGAACAAGAAGAAAAAGAAGCAGGUGUUGGAACUACAGAAGAAUUGUAUACUAAGGGUUGUGUUGACAUACUGACAUAUGACUUAUGAGGAGUUGAGGGAGAGAAGCUGCCACUGAUUAUUAAUGAGAUCAAUUUGAGACUGAUAAAAAACAUAAAGACCAUCUUUAGGCCUACCCCUCCAGUAGCACUGUUUUGAAGUGAAAUUCAAAGAAGACAUUCUUUUGGGCAAAUUUUGACACACUGAGAAGGUUCUAAUUAGCAAUUUCAGGGACAUGAAGUGUUUUAAAGAGUAAUUUCAGCAAACAUAACUUCAACUUUACAUCCACCUGACCUCAUUAUUUCAGUUUGACAAGAGGGCUUAAUUAUAUCAGUAUGACUGCUAAGAAGACUUUGGAAUAUUAUAAAACGAGUCCAUCAAGUUCAAGGUUUGGAAUGGAAAGAUCAUGAGUAAUUUCACUACUUUUAAGCUGAAUAUGAGAAGGUAAAUGAGGAUGUCCCAGACCCAAUGCUUACUAAAUCAUUGAAGGUCACCUUCUUGAGGCAUAAUUCCAAUUCUUUUCAUCGAUGCUUCUUAGAUGUUAUAAAACAAUACUAUGAAAAUGAAAACGUAAUGUAAUUUUGUCAAAGCCUUUUCCUUAUUGAAGACUCUGGACUGAUUGCGUGGGUGCGCAACACCCACCAUAAUUCCCACACCAACGCCCAACUAACCAAAUCACGUAAGGCCUCACAUGGCCUCAUUAUUAUUUCUGUUGAAAGAUAAUACUAUAUUACAUACGAGAUGGCCAUUCUACCAGCCACCUGUAAAGUUGGUGAUAAAUUGAUACUAAAAAUAGAAGGAAAAUUAAGUUGAAAUUAAGGGUGUCUAUUUAAAUUUAAUUAUUCCCUAGAUAUGAUCUUUUGAUAUGAUUUGAACCCGUUAAUCAUUUAUUUUUAUAUAAAGAGACAAAAAUUCAAUUGUAUAAUCCAGGAUGAGUCACUUGGCCGGGUUUUCGACGACAGCUAAAUCAACCUUCAUUUAGUAAUGAUUGCCCAUGAAAUAAAUUAUCAUGUCUCCUCACAAUAUAAUAAACUAAUAAAAAAUAAAAGAAGAUCACAAAGAAAAGCAUCUUAGUGGAAGUUUUUUUUUUUUUUUUUUUCUUUCAUUUGUUGGUGGUGACACUCCGUGAAAUGUGAUCAACUAGCAUUUGAAUUACACAACCUAAUGCAAAUGAUAAAAAGCAUAAAUUACUUUAGAGUGUUUAGAAUUUGGAAGACUCUAGCUAGGAUGAUAUGGCAUGGGUCUGUGGCCGACAACCACCAAACCCAACGCUAAAUAAUUAUUAUUGAACCAUCAUCAUCAGUAUAAGCAACAUCAAACCUCUCCAUGUUAAACUGUACAUUUUAUUUCAUCCGGAUCUAAUAUCUAAUUAUAAAUGAUUAUGUAUGAGAUUGCAAUCCUUUGCUUAACUCUUUGAAAAUCUAAUUAUAAAUAUUUGGAAUAUCGAUUUCAUCUCUACCAUUAAAAGCAUAUGAAAAAAAUAUCUUGGUCUUUGAAUAAAAGUAAGUAUAAAUAAUUAGACUAGGGUACCAAAUGAUGAAAUCAAAUAUAAAUGAAUUAUAACCAUCAAAUUUCUAUUUUUCAUUAUUAAAUCAUUGGGCGCUCCAAUUUUUACAUGAUGUAUAACUAUUGACGGAAAUGUUAAUUAGGGAUGGCAACGGGGCUGGUUUUUUCGGGUACCCGCCCCCCCCUCCCCCCCCCCCGCCCCUAAUGGGACGGGGUUGAAAUUUAAUAAACGGGUUUUUAACGGGUAUGAGAUUUUUUUUUAAAACCAGGGGCGGGUUCGGGACGGGUUCGGGACGAGUUCGGGUAUUGCCCCAUUCCGCCCCGCCCCGCCCUGUUUACAUAUAAAAUCAAUUUUAAAAUUAAUUUUAUUUUACUAUUUUUAAUAUAUAGAUAAUAAUAAAAAAAUUAAUAAAAUAAGUUAUAAAAAAUAUAAUAAUUUUAUUAUUUAUAAAUAUAUUUAUUUUAAUGUAAUUAAAAAUUUUAAAAGUAAAUUUUUUUUUUUAUAAAAAAAAGGAGGCUAAACGGGGCGGGACGGGGAUGAGAAUUAUUUUUAAUAAACGGGGCGGGGUUGGGAUGGGGGCAACCCGUCCCGAACCCGCCCUGUUGUCAUUCCUAAUGUUAAUAUAAGGAUAUAAUAAUGGGUAAAAUUAGUUGAAAGUGUUUUUUUUAUGACAUAAAAUAAUUUUUCAAAUUUUAAUUUCUAUUUACUUUGUCUUCCCUUGUCAUGUAUCUUUGUAAUUUUCCGAUUUGUUUAUCAAAACAAUAAAUGAUGUCAUGUUAUGAUUUCUCUUUUUGUCUUCCUUUUUAAUUGACGUGUUUAUUGGAAUAAUAUAUUAUGUUAGACAAAAUAACACAUACCUCCACUGCCCAAAUCCCCUCCGUGACAAUGAACCCCAUCUUUAAGCAUUAUUAUAAAAUUAAGCAUAAAGUUAUUACAAGUUUCUUCCAUUUCACAUGCCUUUCCCAUAGAUUGAGUGGUGGAGAUGAUCAUUCUUGAACGAUUUAUAAUUUUAAUGAAUUCUGUCUAUUCUCAUAUCUUUUAAGAGGGAAUUCAAAUCAACUUAUCUUAUUUUCUCAACGCUACUUAACUUCCACGGCUUCAAAUUUACAUGAUCAUAUCAUUAUCAAUAACUUCGGCAUAACUAUUCAAAUUUUAAUAAGAACUUCAAAUCAUUGUUACCUUUAUUGCCUUAAAAAUCUUUUUCUUUGUCAAUGAUCCCUGCACGAUUAUUAAAUAAUAGGAUUGUUAUUGUCAUAUUAACUAAUUUUGAUAAUAUAGUCAUCGUCACGGCUGAGUGCCGUUUUCUUGGGAGAUUUUUCAUAAAUUUAAAUCAAUACCAGUUAUAGGAAAUGCGUCACAAAUUAGGAAGAUAUCGAGCUGGAAGCAGAUGAUAUAUAAUUCAUUAUUUUCUUCCUUAUUGAAGCUUGACAAACCAAUCCAAAUGCAUUAACGUGAGAAGCAAGGUUUUAUGCUCAUUUUCAAUGAACCUUGUCAACAUGCACGUCAAAAACAAUGAUUUAUUAACUACGUACAUGUAGAACUGCAUGGGAAAAAAAAAAUACAAUUAAGGCAUUGGGAUAUGAAUAAAACGCUUAACUUAAAAUUCAAAAUUCUCAAAACUACGUUUUUCACACCAAAAUGUUUCAUCCAGCCAACCUAAGACCGAGUGAAUCCUCCCUCUAAAGCACAUUGCCCAAGACUACAGGCAACGUAGUAAUUACCUAAGCAAAUACGUCAGAAUCAUACCAAUUUUUACCAAAGUGGGUAUCGGGAAGGAGCUUUGCCUAAUUCAUCCUUCUAUAUAUAAGGACAAGGUUAUCUACUUCUUCUCAUCACUGCCUUCUGUUUGAAUAUUUUGUAGUUAGUUUUAUCAAUCCAGCUAGUGUUAUUAUCAGAAAAACAUGGCUCUAACUGGUAAGUUGGAGACUGAAACAGAGAUCAAAGCACCUGCUGAUAAGUUCUUUAAAAUCUUCAGGAGCCAAGCACACCACCUUCCUAAUAUCUGCUCCGAUAAAAUACACAAAAUCGAGGUACAUGAAGGUGACUGGGAGACUCAGGGCUCCGUCAAGCAUUGGAGUUUGACCGUUGGUAAGGCAUCUCAAACUAAGAACCACAAAACACUAGCGUUAUAUUCUGUUAAUUAAAAUAAGUUAUUAUGUUUUUGUUUCAUUUCAUUGUUGUUUUCUUCACCUUUCAAUUAUUCUAUUAGAAUAAAAGCAUGCCUCUUUGUACAAUUUUUUUCUUGCAAAGAAGUGAUCGAGUCUGGGCCGCUAGUGACUAUGAUGGUUCUUAGGAAUGUACAUGACAUCUAAUAAUAGCUUCAACAUAUUCCAAUUAUGUUUAACCUCACAUUUUGGUUUCAACUAGGAGAGAAUUCUGAGAGUAUUAAAGAGACUGUGGAUCAAAUAGAUGAAGAAAACAGGUCCAUCACAUUCAAGGUUUUGGAUGGGGAGGUGCUGAAAGACUACAAGAGCUACAAGUUCACCACACAAGCGAUACCAAAGGGGGAGGGCUGCUUGGUGAUAUGGACCAUCGAAUAUGAGAAGGCAAGUGAGGGUGGCCCAGAUCCCCAUAACUGCCUAGAGUUUUCAGUUAAUAUCACCAAAGAUAUCGAAAGUCACCUUCUCAAUGCGUAACACCAAGGCCAUAUCCACCCUUUGCUAGUAUCUUGCUCGUAAAUAAAGUUUGGAACUUGGAAGUCCAUCUAUCUCUAUCUUUCAAUAAACGCAAAUUCCAGGUGUGGACUUGGUGAUUAGUGCCGAGAAGAUAAACUAGGUUUGCCUUGGUUAUUUGUGCAAUAAUAUUAGUGCAUGAGUGGGAUUGAUUGUAUGCUAUCUUGUCCGGGAGUUGCUUUGUGUCUUUUGUAAUGGGAUUACUACAUGUAAUGUGAAGACUAUAUGAUGCAUGGGGAAAUAAAUUAAGCGAAAACUUCCAUGGGCUCCAUCAUGAGGAGCCUUUGAGUAAGUCCACAAGCCUACAUUCUUGCAUUCUAGUCACAUGUGUCAAAAUAAGUCUCUACAAAUUAAAGUCUUAUUGUCAAAAUCCCACUUUACACAUAAUCUAAAUAAUUUAGCUAAAAUCUAAUAAGUAUGUCUCUCUUUAUAUGUACUUACCAUCCCAACUUUUAAAUUUAGGGAUAUCUAUGUAAUUUAGAUUUUAAAAAGAAAAUUUUAGGGAUAUUUACAAAGAUAAAUGAAAUAUUUUUGGUUCCGAUAACCAUUAUUUUUAUCUCAUUUUGGUUUCUUUGCGUUAUAAAAAAAAUGGUUUGUAGAGAUAAACUAGAGAAAAAAAAAAAUUAUACAAUGGUUUGUAGAGAAAUUUGAUUCGAAAAGUUAGAAAAGAUGAUUUGUUUUUUGCAUUUGCUUCAUUCUAAAAUUCAAUCACUAUCUUUUAUCUCAUUUUGGUUUCCCCACAUUAUCAAAAAAUGAAGGAUAAAAAUAAACUGGGGAAAAAAUUAUACAAAGGUCUCCGAGAACUUUGAUUUGAAGAGUUAGAAAAGAAGAAUUUUUUUGCAUUUGUUUCAUUUUAAAAUUCAAGGUUUUUGGAUUUCUAUUAUAUAUUAAUUAUGAGGAUAGUAGAAUAAUAAUAAUAAUAAACAAAAACUAGUUAUUAGUGACCUUGAUCAAUAGAGUAUAAGUUGUUGACCUUUAUUAUCUUUGUUAGAAGUAGUUAACGAUGCAAUGUAACCUUAGCCAAUAAAGAUGUUUUGAUAUACAUUGAUUGAAAAAUGUCCUUUUAAAACUAGUUAUUAUUGACCUUGGUCAACACAGAGGAUAAGUUGUUGACCUUUAUUACCCUUGUUAGGAGUAGUGAACGGUGUAGUAUAACCUUAGUCAUUAAGGAUGUUAUUAGCCUUUUGCUAUAUCAUUGAUUGAAAGUUGUCCUAUCCACCAAUAAGGAGAAUGAAGGCUAGCCACCAAGUACUAGUUUUAGUAUUUUGGCACAAUAUUAUUACUAGUGAGUCAAAGUGAAAUAUUUGUUGAUAAAACUUUUUUAAUAUGAAUUGAGUAAGCAAAAUAUAUUAUUUAAUUCUAUCAUUAAAUUGGAAGUGUUUAAAUUUUCAAAAACAAUUAUUUUAAUUAUUGAAUCAAAUGAGCUUACAUGUUAAUAGACUUUUAUAAAGAUGUGGUAUCUUCCGAAAUUUUAUUAUAUAUAAUAAUUGAUCUUCCUUAUACUAACUUUUAUCAUUGAGCCAUCGAGUUCACUUUUCUCUGUUAUUCUCCAUUUCAAUUAUAAAUGAUAUAAAGAGGGAUGAGGUAAGAAAAAUAUUUCUAUUAGAGACAGCUUUGGAAUUGAUUUAUUUUAGGAUUAUUUACUAGACUGAAUUCAUUUAUAAUUUCUAAAUUUCUUUUUGAAGAAUUUGAGAAAAUUAAAUUAAUUAUUGAGAGAUUUUAAUUAGUUUUAAAUUUGUUACUUAAAGUCGUUCACAUGUUGGAUUCUAAUAUUUGAUACGUGAAACUAGCAUGAAGGGCUUGACCUCCGGGUUUGGGGCGUCGCAGCUGACUUUAGAUUACAGAAUUAUUAAUCAACCUACCAAUCUUCAAAGCAAUCUAGGAUGCAAUAUGGUUUUGUGAUUUAAGAUCAAGUGGACGCUUCAUUUAUUAUGUCUUCAAAAAAACAUUUUGGGCCUCAAUUCGAGAUUAUCAGAUAUGGAUUCUAACAGUUGCUUCCAAUCAAAUCAGUGUCACAGAAAUCGCUACCAUUGUGGUACCUGAAAAAAAAAAAAAGAGACUCCUUCCCUUAAUAUUGAAAUUUAUCUGAAGCUAUGCAGUAAAUAAAUGCCCCAUUUUGUGCGUCAUAAUGGGGGAUCACAUUCAGAAUCUUCUGCACAUGCAAAUUAAAAUCAAAAUCAAGCCAUUGGCCUAUCACAUUACCAUUUUUGGCCCUUUUGUUUUGUUGUUUUUUUCUUUUUUUGGCGUGUAUAUAAAAAGCAACCACAUUAUCCAACUUUUAUUGAAAACACCAUAUUAUCAGAUACAAAAACGCCACAUCAUUAUUAUUGAAAAUUAAAUUCCCAUAUAUAGAAAGCCACAUAAAAUUCAGUGCCAAUCACAAACAUUCGUUGAUAUUCACUAGGAUAGAGAUAGAGUGCCCAUAUAUGGACAGUGCACCAUACCCGCCGUGAAGUGAUUGGAAGAGUGUGGACUAUGUCAAGCUCCGGACUUAUUUGUAUAGGUAAGGCAACGCUAACCAUUAUUAUUCCCAUGCCACCCUCAAUCAAGCACAGUCAUACACUCGGCACAUGGCACUUCUUGUUUUUAAUUAUUAUCAUAGUGAACAAUGUUUUCAUAAUCGGAUCGAUCAUCGAACCGAAAAAGUUAUCGAUUUACAGUCCAUUAGUCGAACCGACGGUCGAACCAAUAACAUCAUAAAUAUGUAAUUUAUAUAUUAUUAAAAUUAAAAAUAAUUAUACAAAUUUUAAAAUAUAUAUGAAUAAAUUAAAAAUCAAUAAUAUUAUUUUGUAUCUUUAAUAUUAUCAAAUUAAAUCAUAUUAAUAUUUUAAAUUUUAUUGAAUGAAAUAUAUAUAAUAUUUAAAUAUGAAUAUAUUAAAAAUGAAAAUUUAAUUAAACUAAUUUUAUAAUUUUUAAAAAUAUUAUAUUAUUUUUAUUUAAUAUUAUAAAAAAAUUUAAAAUCCAAUAUAUAUUAUUUUGUUUGGCAUAUUAAAUAAUAAAAGAUGUAUAGCCGAGUGGUCCUAGGUUGGUUAUAGACCUUGAGGUCCAAGUUCAAAUCCUUUGGUGGAUUUGUUAAUUUUUUUUUUCAUUGAUUAGGUUAGUUAGCAAUCCCACACUAAGAGGAAUAAGGAUGCUUAUAAAAGCUAGCCUCAUUAUGGGCAAAGGCAUCACCUCAUCUGGUGGGCUUAAGACUCAGCCCAUAAAAUGGUUGGGUGCGGUGUGGGCUUUGUCACAUUAAGACAGGGCCCAUCAUGGGCUUUUGCUAAAUUUUUUUAUACAAGGGAGCCUUCCAUGCUUGCAAAAUGGUGGGAUAACUUGAACCGAUCGAUUCGCUCAAAACCGUCUGAUUUCGUUGGGUUAUCGAUUCAAUCAUCGAUUUAGGUGAUUUGUGACCGGUCCAAUGCUUAGACGGUUUAAUAAAGUAAAUCUAAUAAAAAAUGUGAUGGAUCGACGAUUGAACCAGUUGGAUCAGUCGGUCCCACCCGAUUUUUAAAACAUUAGAUAAUAACAAAUUAAAAGAAGGGUGUCUCCUCAUAUGAGUUUUUUUGAAGUUCUCUACUCUUGGAGUGACUGAAAGGAUAACUGCAGCCUGGUGAGAUGGACUUUGGAAUAUGAGAAGUCAAAUCAGAGGCUCCUUCCUCCAGAUGCUUACCUCAGCCUUGUAAGCAUGAGUAAAGAUAUGGAUGGUUUACCUUCUCAAGGCAUAAACCGCAUAACAGCAAGGCCUAUAUCCUUGACUUGGUCUGAAAGCAUCCUAGCUUGGGUCCUUCUGGGAAUGGGAUUGCCACACGUAUGACCUCUGUAUCAUCAGUUUUGGGGCAAAAUAGCCAUUUUAUGUAUAAAAAAAAAUAAGCUUUAGCCCUUUACAAAACUUAUGUUUAAACUAGCUCACAUAGAGUCAUGUCAUCAUUUUUCUUUUAAACUCAAUUAGACUUUAUUUUUUAACUGAAACUUCAAUUACCAAUUGAGAAUUCAUUUUUUAACUAAAACUUCAAUUUACAAUUGAGGUUUUAGUUAACUUUGUUUUAAAUUUAAAUAAAAAAUUAAAUUAUAAAUUAUUAUUGAAAUUUAAAAAAUAUAUUUUAAUAAUAAUAAUUUAUAUAUUUAAACUUAAAUAUCUAAUAUUACUUCAAUAAAGAUAAAUUGACAAAUAUAAUAAUAAAUAAAUAUUUUAUUUAUCAAUAAAUUAAUAAUUUUAAAAUAAUAAAGUUAUAUGAAAUCUAAAUAAGAUAUAAAAUUAUAUAAUUUGUUAAUUUAAGAUAUUUAAUUUUUUGUAUUUUUAAGAUAUUAAUUUAUUUGUAUUUUGACAAAUUUAUCUUUAUUAAAAUAAUAAUAUAUUCUUAAGUUUCAUAUAUAGAUUUUUUUAUUAUUUUAAAGCAUAUAUUUAUAGUUUACGUAAAAAAAUACUAUUAUUUGUACAUACAAUAUAUAUGCCUUGAAGAUACAUUUUGAAAUUAGUUAAUAAAAUUAAUUAGAAAAAAGUCUACUAUAAAAUUUAAUUUUUAAUAGUUUCAUCAAAGUCACAAAAAAUACUCAUUAAAUAUUUAUAUUAUGGAAAAAAAAUGCCCCUCCCUAAUAUUACAUGUGAUAUAACUUAAAUUAAUAAAUUGUAUAAUUUUAUAUUUUAUUUAUAUGUCAUAUAAUUUUAUUAUUUUAAGAUUAUUAAUUAAUUGAUAAAUAAAAUAUUUAUUUAUUAUAUUUAUCAAAUUAUCUUUAUUGAAGCAAUAUUAGAUCUUUAAGUUUAAAUAUAAAAUUUUUUAUUAUUAAAGUAUAAUUUUUUAAUUUCAAUAAUAAUUUAAAAUUUAAUAUUUUUAAUUAAAUUUUAAAGUAAAAAAAUAAAAUAACUGAAGUUUCAAUUGACAUAUCUUAUUUAGAUUUCAUAUAAUAUUAUUAUUUUAAGAUUAUUAAUUUAUUUAUAAAUAAAAUAUUUGUUUGUUAUUAUAUUUAUUAAUUUAUUUUUAUUGAAGUAAUAUUAGAUCUUUAAGUUUAAAUAUAUAAAUUAUUAUUAUUAAAAUAUAUAUUUUUUAUUUCAAUAAUAAUUUAUAAUUUAUUUUUUAAUUAAAUUUUAAAAUAAAAUAAAAAUUUUAACUAAAACCUCAAUUGUCAAUUGAGGCUUUAGUUAAAAAAUAAGUUUCGAUUGACAAAUGAUACUUCAAUUAAAAAAUGAAGUCUUAGUUGGUAAUUGAGACUUCAACUUAAAUUUUAAAAAAAAAAAAUUAUGACAUAACUCCUAUAUGUGAUAAUAAAGGAACUAGUUUAAACAUAAGUUUUAUAAAAGGGUUAAAACUUAUAUUUUUUUCUACAUAAAAAACUAUUUUGCCCUAAAACUCCCGUAUCGUCGACUAGCUACUGCUUUACUCCAUGUAACAUCUUGUCUACUUAAUUAUAUGAACUUCCUGAAUUAAUGCUGGAAUGACAAACCAAGUUUUAUUGAAAAUGGAAACCUUCUUAGAAUCAAACAUUUGCUCGAACAAAUUUCGCAAUAAAAAGAGGAGAGUUGUGAAAAGAAGCAUUUUUCCUGCAGCCAAUUACCUUUUCAUACAUUACUUUAAAACAAAUUAACAAAUAGUGAUCUCAUAUUUUACCUUUUCUGUUGCAGAUUACUUUUAAAAAUAUUCUCUCCACAGGCACUCCUACGGAAUCUUUCUCCAAAUCAAACUGUACAUUUUACUCAAAUUUUAAUAUCUAAUUAUAAAUAAUUAUGGGUGAGAUUGCAAUCCUUUGCUUAGCUCUUUGAAAAUCUAUGAUGAUACUCGGUAUUAAUAUUUUAUUUUAUUAAAGAUAAAAAUAUCAAAAUAAUUUUAGAACUUUUUAGUGGGGAUAAUACUUCCCCAUUAGGCUGCUUACAAGGCAUAAAUUAAUAUUUUUUUAAUUUUAAUAAAAGCAAUUUGGUACAGUUGACUUGAUUGAUAACUAUUUAAGAUAGGAUUUAGACUAAUUUAGAUUAAUUAGAUUGCAUUUACAGUUCCGUUACCUCGAAACAAAGUUGGUGCAACAUUAACCAUGAUUAUGGUGAUAUAUUUUAGUUUUAUAUUUUUUAAGGGGAUAAUUUUUUUUUUUAAUGGUUUGAUGUUAGCUUAUAAGAAAAACCUAAACCAUAAAAGCCGAAUCUUUCCAAUAUUGAUCCAAUUUCUAUCAUUAAAAAUAUAUGAAUAAAACUUUUGAUCCUUAAAUAAAAGUAUACAAACUAUCGUACAAAAUAAUGGAAUCAAAUAUACAAAAUAAGAUUAAGGAAAUGUUUGAUAAAACUUAAUAUUUAUUAUUUAAUAAUUUAAAUUAACUCUAAGUUAAAUUAUAUUUAAGUUGUUGACUUAAAACUUAUUAUUUAAUUUUUAUUUUAAGUAUUAAGGUUAUUUAAAAAAAUUAACUUACAAUUUAUAUUAAAUCAUCAAAUUAAAAUAUUUAUCUUAAUAAAUUAUAACUAAGACAAAUAAGGUUAAAUAACAAUGGAGGUUGUGAAGUCAUAAAAGAGAUCAUAAAUGUAAUUGAGAGAAAAAAAGACAAAAAUAUAAAAUGAAGAUACUGACUUAAAAAUAAAUAAAUUUUUUUAUUUAUUAAGUCUUUUAUUUUAAGUCAUACAAUAAAAUUAUUUUAUCAAACAUAUUUAAUUUAUUUAAUAAUAUAAUUAAAAUAUUAAGUCACUUAAAGUUAUUAAAUUGGUUUACCAAACACGUACUAACGUACAAAUAAAUAAGACUAAAAUAGAAAACAAUGAAACUUAAACACAUAUAUGACAUGGUCUAUUUAAUUGUAUUUUUUUAUAAAUGCCUCUUUAAUACUUCCCAAAUCAUAACAUUAAAUUUCUUAAAUUGAUAUAAAACAUUUUUUUUUUUCUANNNNNNNNNNNNNNNNNNNNNNNNNNNNNNNNNNNNNNNNNNNNNNNNNNNNNNNNNNNNNNNNNNNNNNNNNNNNNNNNNNNNNNNNNNNNNNNNNNNNACAUAUAUGACAUGGUCUAUUUAAUUGUAUUUUUUAUAAAUGCUCUUUAAUACUUCCAAAUCAUAACAUUAAAUUUCUUAAAAUUGAAUUAUAAACAUUUUUUUUUUCUAUGAUUGAAUCAUUUAGCACUCCAAGUUUUACUAUUGGACGAAAUGUUAAGGAUCUAAUAAAUGGGUAACAUUAAUUUGCUGAAAUAGUUUUUCUUAUUACUUAUAAUGGUUUUAAGAAUGUUGAAAAAAAAAUUCAUGGGAAAACAUUUAUCAAACUCAAAUUUUGAUUCCUAUUUACUUUAUCUUUCCUUGUCAUGUCUCUUUCUAAUUUUCCUUUUUUAGCGGUUUGUUUAUUAGAACAGUAUAUCAUGCCUGUGAUUCUCUUUCUAUCACUUCUUUUCAAUUGAUUUGUUUAAUGCAAUAAUAUUUGUUUAAUGCAAUAAUAUAUCAUGUUAGACAAAAUAACACCUACCUACUACCCAAAUCCCCAAUGUGACAAUGAACUCUAUCUUUAAGCAUUAUUAUAAAAUUAAACGUAAAGGAUAUUAUAAGUUUCUUCCAUUCCACGUGCCUUUCCCAUAUAUUGAAAGGUGGAGGUUAUCAUUUUUAAAAGAUCAAUAAUUGUAAUGAAUUUUCCAUUCCACGUGCCUUUCCCAUAGAUUGAAAGGUGGAGGUGAUCAUUUUUAAAAGAUCAAUAAUUUUAAUGAAUUUCAUAUAUUUGCAUAUUUUUUAAGAGGGAAUUCAAAUUAACUCAUCUUAUUUCUCAAUGUUACGUAACUCCUGCCUCAAAUUAAAAUCAUCAUAUCAUUAUGAACAACUUUGAUACAACUAUUCAAUUUUUAAUAUGAAUUCUUUCAUUCUCAAAUCAUUGUUCAAGUUAGCUUUAUUAACUUAAAAAAACUCAUUCUUUGUCACUACUCCCUCUAUGAUUAUUAAAUGAUAAAAUUGUCAUUGUCUUAAAAACUAAUUUUGAUAAUAUAUUCAUCAACAUAUUUACAAAUUUAAAUUAAUACAAGUUGUAAGAAAUGUAUCAUAAAGAAGAUACAAAACUAGAAGUAGAUGAUAAUUAAUUAUUUUUUUUCUUUAUUGAACUUUGACACCCCAUCCAAAUGCAUUAACGAGAAAAAUAGUGUUUUAUGCUUGUUUUCAAUUAAUCUUGUCAAUAUGUACAUGAAAAACAAUGAUUUAUGCUUAUAAAUCUUAUCAAUUCGCUUAUUUGUAUAUGUAAAAUGAAAUUAUUGAAACUACACGUAGAAUUGCAUGAGGAAAAAAAUACAACUACUGCAUUUAUAAAUGAAUAAAAGCUUGGCUUAAAAUUCAAAAUUCUCAAAACUAUGUUUUCCACACCAAAAUAUUUCAUCCAGCCAACCAAACACCGAUUGAAUCCUCCCUCUAAAGCAUAUUGCCCAAGAUUACAGGCAACGUAGUAAUUACCUAGGCAAGUACGUCAGAAUUAUAGCUUCUUUUUUUUUUUUGUUUUUUUUCAGUUCAUUGACUCGGCUCCACCCAACCACUAUCAGUAUCAGUUACUACCAGAGAGGGUACUGGGUACUGGUUACUGGGCAGGAGCUUUUCCAAAUUCACAACCCGUCUUCUUUAUAUAAGGGCAAGUUUAUGUAUUUCCUCUCGCCAUUGCCUUUUGUUCGAAUCAUUUGAAGUUGAUUUUAUUAAUCCAUCAGAAAAACAUGGCUCUAACUGGUAAAUUGGAGAUUGAAACAGAGAUCAAAGCACCUGCUGAUAAGUUCUUUAAAAUCUUCAGGAGCCAAGCACACCACCUUCCUAAUAUCUGCUCCGAUAAAAUACACAAAAUCGAGGUACAUGAAGGUGACUGGGAGACUCAGGGCUCUGUCAAGCAUUGGAGUUACACCAUUGGUAGGAUAUGCAACUCGAACUCAGAACCCCAAAACACUAGCUAGCAUUAUAUUCCGUUAAAAUGUUUUUUGAUUUUUUUUCCCCAUUUCAUUGUUGUUUUCUUCACAUUUUUUUAUUCUUUUAGAAUAAAUGCAUGGCUCUUUGUACAAUUUUUCUUUUUUUCUUGCAAAGAAGUGGUCAAGUCUGGGCCGCCAGUGACUAUGAUCGAUGGUUCUUAGUAAUGUAUAUGGCAUCUAAUAUUAGCUUCAACAUAUUCCAAUUACUAGGAGGGAAUUCUAAGAGCAUUAAGGAGAGUGUGGAAUCAAUAGAUGAAGAGAACAGGUCCAUUACGUUCAAGGUUUCGGAUGGAGAGGUGCUGAACGACUACAAGAGCUACAAGUUCACCACACAAGCAAUACCAAAGGGAGAGGGCUGCUUGGUGAAAUGGACCAUUGAAUAUGAGAAGGCAAGUGAGGAUGGGCCAGAUCCCCAUGACUACCUGGAGUUUGCAGUUACUGUCACCAAAGAUAUCGAAAGUCACCUUCUCAAUGCAUAACACCAAGUCCAUACAUACCGUCUGCUAGUAUCUCUAUUAAAUAAAGUUUGGAACUUGGAAGGGCAUCUACGAUCUCUAUCCUUCAAUAUAUGCGAAGGCUUAGGGGAACUUUUAGCAGCUGUGGCUUGGUGAUUAAUGCUGAGAAGAUAAACUAGGUUUCCCUUAAUUAUUUGUGUAAUAAUGUUAGUGCAUGCGUGUAAUCGGUUGUAUGCUUGUCUGGACUCUAGGGGUUGCUUUGUGAUUGUUAAUUGGUGUCUUUUGUAAUGGGAUUACUACAUGUUAUGUGAAGACUAUAUGAUGUAUAAGGAAAUAAAGUGAAAAUUACCAGGGGCUAACUCCAUCAUGAGGAGCCUCUGAGUAUGUCCACAAGUCUACAUUCUUGCAUUCUAGUCACAUGUGUCAAAAUCAGACCCUAACAAAUUACAGUCUUGAUCAUUGAAGGGGUAAAAUCCCACUUUACAUAUAAUCUAAAUAAUUUAGCUAAAAUCUAAUAAGAAUAUCUCUCUCUACAGGUAUGUAACCUUCCAACCUUGAAUUUAAGGAUAUUUAUAUAAUUUAAAAUUAUAAAAAGAAAAUUUUGGAUAUAGGACAAAUUAAUUUUUUUUUUAAAAAAUAACGAAAGUGAAUGAAAUAUUUUUGGUUCCUAUGACCACCCACUUUUUUUACUUUUUAUUUUUAUCUCAUUUUAGUUUCUCCACGUUAUAAAAAAAUGAAAAGAUAAAAUAGAGAGGAAAAAAGACAACUUGGAUUUGUAGAAGUUUCUUUCUUUCAUGGUGUUUUUCUGUUCUGUUUUUGCCUUUGUUUCAUUCUAAAAGUCACUCACUAUCUUUAUCUCAUUUGGGUUUCCCCGCGUUAUCAAAAAAUGAAAAUAUAAAACAAAGAGGAAAAAAAAACCUAUACAAAGGUCUUUGGAAUUUUGAUUCAAAGACUUAAGAAAAGAAUAAUAAAUUUUUGCAUUUGUUCCGUUCUAAAAUUCAAGGUAAGUUUUUCACAUAUAAUUUUUUUUUAGGAAUUCUAUUAUCUAUUAAUUAUGAGAAUAGUAAAUAUAUAUAAUAAUAAUAAUAAUAAUAAUCAUCAUCAUCAUCAUCAUCAUCGUCAUCAUCAUUAUCAUUUUAAAACUAGUUAUUAGUGAUCCUAAUCAAUCGAGAACAAGUUGAUUUUCAUUACCCUUGGUAAUGGUAGUGAUAAAAUAUAUUUUUAGUUAAUAAGGGUGUAAUUAGCUUUGGGGUUUCAUUGAUUAGAAAUUAUUUCAUCUACUAGUAAAAAAAACAAAGUAAAACUAACCAUCAAGUGCAAAUCAUGAAUUUUUUUAAAUAUGAAUUGAGUAUACAAAGUAUAUUAUUUAAUUAUAUAUUUAAAUUGAAAGAGAUUAAUUUUUCAAAAAUAGUGAAUUUAAUCAUUGAAUCAAAUCAACUUACCUGUUAUAAAGAUGUGAUAUGUUCCAAAAUUUAGUUGUAUACAAUACGUGACCCUUCUUAUUAAACUAUCCUUUAUCAUUGAGCUAUCUAACUUACCUUUCUCAAUUAUUAUCCUUUAAGGUACAUCAAAUAUUGGUAUAAAUGAGAAGAGAUCGAGAUAUGAAAAGUAUUUCAAAUAGAAACAUCUUUAGAAUAGAUUUAUUUUUUAGGAUUGUUUACUUAGAUCAAGUUUAUUUUAAUUUCUAAAAUGUUUUUUUAAGUGUUUGAGAGAAUUAAAGUUAUUAUUUAGAUAUUUUAAUUAGUUUUGGAUUUGUUUGUUAAGGUCAUUCAUACAAAGAUGAUAUCCAUUUCUGUGUUAUAUUUUAUUUUAUUUAUUUAUUUCUUAUUUCAUGUAUUAAGUUUGAUAAAACUGAAGGUGAAAUCAACAUUGAAUUGCUAAAAAUGUCAAUUACUAUUGUUAAUUUAUCACAAUUAUGAUUUUUUAAUUGUAGCACAUAGUAAAAUUAUUAUUAUUAUUAUUAUUAAUAUUUAUACUCUGGUCGAACUUAUCCAUGGCCAAUCCAUCAUGUAGGCCAAUUUUGUCAAACUUAUCCAUGGCCCAUCCAUCAUGUAGGCCAAAUUUUUAUUAGCAUUUUUGGGUCAUAACUCUAGAUGCUGACAUUAAAGCAUUUCUGGCAUAAUAAUUAUUGGAAAAGGAUGUCUCCUCUUUCAUGGAUCACAACCAAUACAGCAAAGAUGAUGAUAGAUAGCAUCCUUAUCACCUCAUGUGUCUUGACCUCUUCUUCAAGCUUGAGUGUCUUGUCCUAUAUUUAACGCAUGUACCAUUGCCUCCAAGAUAUGGUGACAGGAAUUAUAUAGCUACUGACUAGCUAGUCUUCACUCCAAAAAUAUGAUGGCCACUUUUUUGAAAUAUAACUCUUUAUCCUAUUGACUUAAACUCACCACCUCUUUCAGAUCCUCCACAAGGAUCAACUUAUUAAGAGUUUGGUCGAAGUUUGAUCCACUUUUCUAAAUGAGCAAUGUUAAAUUAUUUUAUUCAAACAAAUUUGAUGAUCAAAUAUCUCUUAUUUUCUCAAAUUUAAAUAACAUUCCUUUAUAAAAAUAAUUAUAAAAUUUAUUAUAAUCACUCAUUUUCAAUGGCUCAUUAGUAGAUGUUCAUUGUAUUAAAAUACAUUUAUAUGAUUAAGAAAAACUUAUACAUUUCUAUUUUUUUUUUCUAUGCAUAAUUUAUAAUAUCUCAUAUAGGAUUUAUUGGGUUUAGAAACAUGUAAUAUUUAUAUAAUAGUGAGUGAAUUAUUAUAAAUGGUAUGAAAAUUGAUUUUCAACCCUUUAUGAGAAUUUAUUUAAUACUACAAUAUAUGACUCUAUGUUUGAUUAUGUAAUCCUAUAAGACACGAUGUCCAUUAAGUUCAUUAUAUUAUUUUUAAUUAUGUAAAAAUAUUUUAAAAUUAAAAAAAUUCAUUAAACUUAGUGCAGACGCUAUCUAUAUAAAAGGAAAUAAAUGGUUAUACUUCAUCAUAUUCGUUUCUCAUAUUUGAUAUAUAUCAAUUUCAGCGACUAUUAUUCAACAUUGCCCGAAGCAAUAGGUGCCUCACUUUUACAAAGAAAACUUCCUCUAUUGAUAUUUCUCAAAUAUAAAUUCAUGUCAUGGACUCAUGGUUAACAACCGAUAGAUCCUAAAACAAUUAGAUAUCUCAGAUAUUGAUUGACCAAAUGGACAACCGAUGCUAUAGUAAGAGCUGUUGCUGUUAUCUUUUAAUUUAAAUAUACACAAACGACAAAAUGCUUAACUAAUCCACCACCCAGGCGCCGGGCCACAGAAAUGAAAUACCGCCUACCCCAACAUUUUGGAAUUAAAAAUCUACACCACCCAGAUCUUGCUGUGAUUUGGUAAAUCCCGAGAAAUUGACAACCUUCCUACGCUGGGGAGGCGUGGUUCCAUUCAAUGCCAACAUUUUCGGAUGGGUCCAGAGAGUUGUACAGUGACUUUUAAAUAAAGAAUUGUUUUAAACCUUGACUUUGGGCUCUUUAUCAGGAAUAUGAAAAUAUUGGGCAAUGACUAGAUUCGAGAGCAGGUUGCAUGCAUAGAUAUCGCAUUAAUUUUUAGCAAUCGUUAUGACGAAAGAAAAUCUGCAGAACCAAGCGAAUUUUCCUAGUCAUCAUGAGAGACAUUAGACAAGGUUUUCAAUUCAUAAAAUUGCCUUAUCAUCUGGAAUUAAAUAUUUUCAAGCUAAGGAUGAGGUUCAAUCCGUACGGGGCAAUGAAAAUAUAUGGAUGCCCUAUAGAGUGGUUGAACAUUCUACAGUUUCGUCCCUAUUUAUAGAAGAAGAUGAAAUUUUAAGCAAUUUGCUUCAAUGCAAUUUUAGCAUAUUUCAGCUAGUCAUAGCAACGUCUAAUUUCGUUGAUGUAGAAGAAGCUAACACCAAAGAUUCAUCUAGGUAGAAAGAAGUAUCGAGCAUGUAACUAACCGCAGAACUCACAUCUAGGGACCCUAUUGUAAAUAUAACAGGUGAUGGACAUAAAGAUAGAUAUGAGUAAAAGAGUGGAACAUAAAAUCCAAAUUUCAAAAGUAUGAUAGUUUUUUAGUGUUUCUUUGAAUCUCGUAGGAAUUUAGGUCAUUUUCAAUCUCAUCCAUGAGACAAGGUACAAUAAUUGUUGAAGAAUAAGAGUAUUGUUGGGCAGUUCGGCGAGCUAUAUAUAAAGAGAGAGACUUCUUAACCAUAUAAAUAUUAUCCUCUAUAACUCUAAAUUUUUUUUUCCUUUAUCCAAUAUAAAAUAUCACAAUCACUUUUAUGUAUGCACUCUUUUUAAUCACGUCGCAUAAAAUUACACCAUUUUCAAAGCUAAAUAAACUCCUAUAUAGGGGUCAUAUAUUGACUUCAAUACUCUUUGAAACGACUCACACUUAAUCAUAUAAACUCAUUAUAAUAAUGUAUUUCCUAAUUUCAUGGAAUUUCAAUAAAAUAUUUAUUACUUUCAAAUGGGAAUUAGAGAGGAAUGUUGUCUAGCUAACUCAUAAUUCUUCUUUAUAAGUUCAAAUUAGGUAUUUACUUCUUCCUACCAUUACCUCAUAUUUUGAUUGUUUCUUCGUUAAUAUAUAGUUGGUUAAACUAAUAAACUAGAGGUUAGGAUGGAGAUCAAUUUAGAUUAUGUUUGUUUUGAGUUUAAUAAACCCUUACGACUUUAAAAUGUGUUUAGAUAGUUAAGAGAAACUUAUACAUAUAUAAUAUUAAAAAAAUUUCCUCAUUUAAUGUGAGAUAUUAUAAUCAUCACUCAUGUAGACAUAAUAUAUUUGUUGUAAGUCAGAAGAUUGUAAAACCAAACAAAUUUUUUCAUUGAAAUAUAAUAUUAUUUGUAAUGGUUCACUUUCUCUCAUGGAUCCCAACUCCAUUAGGUUCUUCAUGAAGCUUGUUUCAGUUUAUUAACCACCGAUGUAGCAAAGAUGAUGAUAAGUAGUAUUUUUGUUUCUCAUAUGUUUUCAGACCUCAUCAAGCUUGAGUGCCUUAUCCCAUCUCUAACGCAUGUACCAUUGCCUCCAAAAUAUGUUGCCAGAUUAUACAUAAUAUCAUAAUUAUAGCUACUGAAGUCCAACGACUACCUAGCUAGUCUUCACUCCCAAAAACAUGAUGGUCACUUCUUUGAAAUAUAACUCUUAUCCUAGUGACUCAAACUCACCACCUCAUUGACAUCCGUCAUAAGAAUUUCAGAGACUCUUCAAAGUUUGAUCCACUUUUAUAGAUGAAUAAUGUAAAAUUCUUUUAUUCAAACAAAUUUGAUGAUCAAAUAUCUUUUCUUUCCUAAAAAUUAUAUUUCCUUUUUAUAAAUCUUAUUUUAAUGACCCAAUUACAGUAUGGUAGAUAUUGUUUGUUUCGAGUCCAAUAAACCCUUAUAACUUUAAAAUAUGAUUAAAUAGUUAAGAGAAACUUAUAAAUAUAUAAAUGUGAGGUCAAAUAAAUUUUCAUAUUGAGAUAAAAGAUUAACUUUAAUACUAUUUGUAAUGGUUUACUUUCUUUCAUGUAAACAUCAUCCACUUUAUACUCAAUGAAUCAUUGAAGCUUUAAAACAUAUUUACAUGAUUAAAAGAAACUCGUACAUAUAGUAUUAGAAUUUUUUUUUUCUGACCCAUGAUUUGCAAUAUAUGUAUAAAUACGUUUUAAAGUUAUGAGGAUUUAUUAAGUUCAGAGUAAAUAGUAUUUAUAUUAAAUGGAAUGACAUGUCACAUGCAAAUAAUAUCAAACUCAAUCUCCAAUUUUUAUAUAAGAGUUUGUUUGAUUUUAUAAAAAAUGUUUGUGUGUUUCAUUCUACAAUUCUGUGAGACACAACAUCCAUUUAAUUUAUUAAAGUCUUUUUAACUAUGUAAACAUGUUUUAAGUUGUUAAGAUUGAUUGGGUAAAAACAGAAGAGGUGAUUGUGUGUUUUAUCCUACAAUUCAAUGAGGCAAUGCCUAAUUGAUUCAUUGGGGUACUUUUAAUCGUUAAUGCAUGUUUCAAUGUUGCUAAGAUUGAUUGAGUGAGGAAAAUAUCUACAUAUGAAAGGCAACAGUUAGUUACACUUCAUUAUGUUUUUUUCUAAUAUAUUGAUAUAUGUCAAUUUCAGUAGUUAUUAAUUCAACAUCGCCCAAAGUAACCAAUGCCUCGCUUUUCCAAACAAAACUUUCUCUAUUGAUAUUUCUUAAAUAUAAAAUCAUGUCAUGGUAAGCAUCCGAUGGAUACUAAGACAAUUGGAUAGAUAUCUCAGAUAUUGAAUGGACCAAAUGGGGUAACGGAUGUGGUAGUAUACAAGCGCUGUAUAUCUUUUAAUUUAGAUAUACACACACAACGUAAUGCCUAAUCCAUCCAGCCGGGGGGCCGGCCAGAGAGAUAUAAAAUACCCCCAAUCCCAUCAUUUUGUAUUUUGUAUUGGAAUUAAAAAUCCAAACCCAGAUAUUGCUAUGAUUUGGUAAAUCCCGAGAAAUUGAGAACCCAUCCUGGGGGAGGCAUGGUCCCCCUAUUCAAUGCCAACCCUAUUUUCAAAUGGUGUCUAAAGAGUUGUACAGUUAACGGUGACUUUAAAAUAAAGAAUUGCCUUAAACCUUGAUUUUAGGCCCUUCUUCAAGAAUAUGAAAAUGCAUGUUGGGCAAUGAUUUAGAUUCGAAAGUGGGUUCUGCAGACAUCACAUUUCUGCAGAGCCGAAAAUAUUUACAAGCGUAGGACGAAGCUCAGUUCAGAUGGGCCUCGAAGAUGAAUUUUUAAGCAAUUUGCUUGAUACAUUCAGCAAUUGAUAAUUUAAAAUAAAAAAAAUUAGGAAAUAGAAAGUAAAACAUAUAUGGUUAAAACUUCAAUGCAAUUUUAGCAUAUUUGAACUAGUCAUAGGAGCGUUUAAUUUCUUUGAUGAAGAAGCUGAACACCAAAGAUUCAUCCAGGUAGAAAAAUGUAUUGACCAUCUAAUUGUCUGCAGAACCUACAUCUAAGUACCCCGCUAUAAAUAUAAGAGGCAACUUAGGUGAGGGACAUAUAGACACAUACGAAUGCCAUUGUAGAAUAUAAAAUCCAAAUUUCUCAAAACUAUAAGGUUAUGUUUGAAUCCAAAAAAAUAUUAGAGGAAGUGAAAAUGUUAAGAAAAAUAAUUUUUUAUGAUUAAUUUUAUUAUAAAAAAUAUAAAAAAUAAAUAUAAUUAAAAUUAGUUAGAAUUUUACAUAUUUUUAAAUUAUAUAAUUUGAAUUUAAAUAAAUAUAUAAAAAUAAGUCAUUAAUUUUAGAUCUAUUUCUUUUUUCUUUUUUUAUAUUCUCCCACAAAAUUUCAGUAACCGAACACAACCUAAUAGUUUCCACUGUUUCUUUGAAUUUCUCAACUUCAAAAUCUCUUGUCUAUGAGACCUCAGAGUAAUUAAUUCCUACCUCUUGGUGACUAGGCCAAGCGCAUGGAUAGGCACAUUGACCCACUUGUAAUUGCCUAGGCUAAUAGGCCAAGCUCAUAGCAAUUUUCCUUUUUUAUUUUUUAAUUUCGUCGUAGGACUUGGUCUCCACAAGGCACUAUAACGUAUCCCCUAAUUUCAUUUCAUGGAACUUUAAUAAAAUAUCUAUUGCUUUCAAGUGGGAACUGGAGAGCAACGUUGCCUAGCUAACUCACAAUCCUUCUAUAUAAGUUCAAGCUAGGUAUCUUCUUCCUUCCACCACUGCCCACUGCCUUGUAUUAGGAUAUCGUUUCUUAGUUAAUAUAUAGUUGAUUAAUUUCCAUCUCCAACUACUACUAUUAUUAGAAAAAUAUGGCUCUAACUGGCAAGCUAGAGGUUGAAAUGGAGAUCAAUUCACCUGCGGAUAAAUUCUAUAACAUCUUCAGGAGGCAAGCACACCACAUUCCUAAUAUCUGCUCAGAUAAAGUACACCAAAUUGAUGUACAUGAAGGUGACUGGGAGACUCCAGGCUCCGUCAAGAACUGGGGUUAUACUCUUGGUAAGGCAACCACAACUCAAACCCCAAAACCCUAGCACUAUUAGUCUGUAAAAAAAAAUGAUUUUUUUAGUUUUUCUAUUUCAUUUAAUUGUUUUUUUGUUUGGCAUUUUCCCCUUUAGAAUAUUAAUUUAACUGCAUUAAUUCGGAGUUGAUCCCAUCAUGUGGAAGUUUAUGCUUCUGUUAUGAAUACAGCUUUGUAUGCCUUCCUUAUGUUUAAUUCAACCUAAAGCAUGUAGAAUUGAUGGUCAAAGUCUAUGGGACCCUUUUUUCAUGACCGCCAUGCAUGGGGCUUUCCCAGGUGACUGCCCGCUACUAAAGGGGCCUAAAGUUUAGGUCCCCCGAGUUAGAACUUAGAAGAGGGAUUAUGAAUGAUCAGUGAAGUUGUAAGGUUUUGAUCUUCUUAGAUAUUACCUAGAAAGAGGAUUGACUUUACUUGACUUUUACCAUAUUGAUUUAGAGAUUGGCGAUUGCUUUAAAAGGUUGUGUCAACAGAAGAAAACUUAAAAAAUAUUAAGAAAAAUAAAAAAAAUGAUUUUGUUUUUAUAAAAAAAAUCAAAUAUAAUAAAAACGAGUUGAAAUUUUAUUUAUUUUUAAAUUAACUUUUAUAUAGAAGAAUUAAAAUACGUUAAGUAAAUUUGAAUCAAAAUAUAAAAAUAAUUAAUUUCUUAAUUUUAAAUUUAUUAUUUUUCUUUUAACUUCUUUUUUGUUUUUUCAUUUUCUUUUCUUUUGUAUUUUCUUCAAAUUUUUUUAGAACCAAAUAUAGUCAUUAUGAAAAGAUGGGCCACGAAGUGACUACGCAUGUCAAUUUGCUUGAGAUUUCGCAAUCUAGUAGUUUCAAAAUACUAUGCUUAACCCCUUGUUUUGGUUUGAAAUUACUAGGAGGGACUUCUAUGAGCCUUAAAGAGACUGUGGAAUCAGUAGAUGAUGAAAACAAGUCAAUCACUUUCAAGGUUGUGGAUGGAGAGAUCAUGAACCAUUUCAAGUGCUUCAAGUCCAACUUGCAAGUAAAAGCAAAGGAUGAGGGCAGCUUGGUGAAAUGGAGUCUGGAAUAUGAGAAAGUAAAUAAGGAUGUCCCAAAUCCUGAUGCUUACCUGGAGUUCGCAGUUAAUGUUACUAAAGAUAUUGAAAGCCACUACCUCAAGGCAUGACACCAAGGCCAUGUGGUAUCCUCGGUAGUAUUACUUCAAUAACGCUGGUGUUUGUAAUUUGGUUGAGUUGUAUGCUUUACCAGGAGUGGCCUUGUGAUUGGCUGGUUUCUUUUGUAAAGGCAUUAUCAUAUAUGAUGUAAAUACUGUACCUUAAAUAAAAAGAAAAUCAGCAAAGACCCUCCUUUUUAAUGUGGAUAAUUGCUUUUAAUGUCACCUUUGUUGAUCGGUUUACAAGACAAGAGUUAACAAGUAGUCCCUAUUUAUUAAAUAUAAGAAUUUUCUGUAUCCAUUAAUCAUCAUCAGUAAGCUAAUAAAAUGGCUGAUAUUUUUCUUAAUAAAAACAGCAACAGUUACUGAGUUUAUAUAUAGGACACCAGUUGCAGAUUAGAUUUCUUUGGCUUGAUUGUGAUCUUUCUACAUGUUGGAAAAAUAUUGUCAUUUGGUAUUUAAUAUCAAAUUUUAAAAAUAAUAUUUAAGAUAUGAAGAAAAAAACAUACAAUGAUUCAUAUUUUUAACUUUAAUAUGAUUUAAAGUUCAUCGAGUAACCGUUUUGAAAUCAUUCACCCUUGAUCUUCACUUUCCUAGUCUCCCUUUACACGUUCCUUAGUGGUGAGUAUGAAAAUGAUUCCAUUGAAUUGUAAGAAUGGAAAGAGGGAUAAAAAAUUCUUCUAUUUAUAAGCAUAGAAUGAUUCUUCUUAUCAGUGAACCAUUAACUAAAUACUUUAAACAUAUUAUUAAUUAAUAAUAAUAAUAAUAAUAAUUAUUAUUAGAAAAUAAAUUUCAUAAAUAUUAUAAAUUUAAAAAAGAAUCUAAUUUAAUUCUUAAAAAAUUUAUGCAUGAAAUUUUUAUAUUAUUUUUAAUUGUUUUCUAAGGGUUAUUUUAAGAAAUUAUUAUACAAACAUAUAAAAUAAUUAAAAAUAAAACAAUAGAUAUAAAAAUUAUUUUUAAAAAUAUUAAAAAUAAAUUCAAAAUAUUUUAAGUUGCCAAACAAAUUUUUUAUUCUACAAAAAUCAGAGAUAGUUUUCAAAAUCUCUUUUAAAAAACUAUUUUUCAGAAUUAUUUUAAAAAAUAGUUACCAAACAAGCCCUAAAAGAUUUAUAUAUAUAUAUAUAUAUGAAAUUAAAAAAAUAUCAAAUAAUAAAAAUUCAAACAAUGGUAAGGGUGUCACUAAUGAUCGGUUUGGAUUUAAACUAACAUUUUUUUAUAUUGAGUAAUUUAUUUUUUAUUCUAUAUAUUAGAAAAUUGAAUUUAAAUGUAACUUUUUCAAAUAAAAUAGUUAGAUCACACUUGAUAUAUAGUAAUAAUUUUUUAAAAACUAAUGGUCAUAAUUUAAAAAAAUGAUGAAAAAAAAAUCUCAAAUAUAUUGCAUAUGAAUGUAUAUAUUUAGUUUUAUACAACAUGUUAGACAUAUAUUAGUUAUUAACUUAUUAUAAUCUACUAAAAUAUUAAUUCUAUACGAGGGGAUUAGAUUUCUCAUUGUUGAUUUUAUAACCCUCAUUGUGGGAUUAUAAAAUGUCAUUGCAAUCACUCCCAAUUUAGUCUAUGCAAAUCAAAUAUAGAAAUGCAAUUUAUCUCUGUCACAAUUUGUUACACAAUAAUGAUAAUGGAUAAUAAAUAAAUAAAUAAAUAAAAUUAAAGAACACACAUUUAUGUAUAAAACUUUAGAUGAGAAAAAUCAUGGAUAAGGAAAAUGAAUAUCCAAUAUAUCAAAAGAUUGGUAUAAAAGAUGAGAAAUAUAAACAACUAUGAUAAAAAUAUAAUCAUCAUAACCUUAAAAUUAUGUGAAAGUAAUUAACAAAGUAGGUCCAUACAUAAGGACAAAGAGCCCCCUCAAAGGUAUCAAUGGUGGGGGUGUGGGGUGUGGGAUCGGAUCAAAUUCCAACGUUAUCAAUGGUAGGCUAGGGGAUCGGAUCAAAUAGAAUUUGGAUCGCCAAACCUUAAUACAUUUUAUGCUUUUUCUUAUUGGUUUAGAUUUAUGAUAAUCUCCUCCACCAGCAAAAUAAAGUUAUACCGGAGGAUUUUCUUUGUUUUGGCUGUCACACUUUCACUUCUUUGCUAAUAGCCUAACAUCAAAUGAGAAAAUAGAGACAUUUUAAAAAUGAGAACAAAUUCUCGAGGAUUUAGUUGUCUGCCACUAGACUAUAAAAAAUGCUUUCCUGUUAUUUUACCCCCUAAAAUAAGUUUGAUACAAUGCAUCUAUUUUCUGGCUCCGACAAUGUUUAAGAAUACAUCAACCGACCUCAAACCACAUUAUUUCGGUUUGAAAAGAAGGCUUUAUUAUGUCAGUAUGGCUGCUAAGAAGACUUUUGGAAUAUAAUAAAACAAGUCCAGCGAGUUGAUGGUUUGGAAUCGAGAGAUCAUGAAUGAUUUCCCUACUUUAGAGUCAAUAAUUAAGUGGAAUGUGAGAAGGUGAAUGAGGAUGGCCCGGGAUCCAAUGCUUACUAAACUAUUGAAGAUCACCUUCCUGAGGCAUAAUUCCAUUACUUUUCAUCGACGCUGCGAUGCUAUAAAAGAAUAUUAUAAAAAUGCAAGGGUAAUGAAAUAUUGUACAGCCUUUACCGUAUUGAAGAACGUGGACUGAUUGCUAGGGUACCCAACACCCACCAUAAUUCCCACACCAACUCCCAACCAACCCGAUCACGUAGGGCCUCACAUGGCCUCAUUAUCAUUUAUGUGGAAAGAUAAUGCUAAACUAUAUACGGGAUGGCCAUUCUACCAGCCAACCUGUAAUGAUUUUGAUAAAAGUAUACUAAAAAUAGAAGGAGAAAUUAAGUUAUCAUUUGAUAACGGUUUUUAAAAAUUGUUUUUAAUAUUUUAUAAAAUAAAAUUUUAUUUAGAAAUACAAAAUAUUUUUAACUUAUUUUUAAUAUUUUAUAUGUAUAUAUAUAUAUAUAAAGAGAGAGCGCUUUAUUUUUAAUUAUUUUUCAUAUUUAUAUAAUUAUUUUUUAAAACAAUUUCAAAAAAACAAGUGAAAAUAACUAAAAAAAUAUUCUUUGAGAUAAAGAUCAAAAAACAUAAAAUAGUUUUUUUUAUUAUCAAACAUGUUUUAUGUUUUCUAAUCUGUGUUUUUUUAAUUUGUUUUUUGUUUUCAAAUCUUAAGAUCACUUAAUUUUUUAGGGUUUUUUUUAAGAAAUAAUUAUAUAAAUAUAUAAAAUAAUUAAAAAUAAAAUAUUAGACAUAAAAAUUAUUUUUAAAACAUAUUUAAAAAUAUUAAAAACAAGUUUAAAAUAUUUUAAGUUAUAAAAUAAGCUUUUUUUUUUUUACAAGAAUCAUAAAAUAAUUUUUAAAAACUAUUUUAAAAUAUUAUUUUUGAAAAUAAUUAUCAAACCCCUUAUUUUCUAUUCUCAAAAAAUGUUUUUUAAUUAUCAAAUGUGGUGUCUAUUUAAAUUUAAGAUUUUAAAUUUUAAAUUUAGUUAUUUCCAAGUUAUGAUCUCUUGAUAUUAUUUCAACCUAUUAUUUAUUUAUUUGUUUGUUUUUCACAUAAAUAAACUAAAAUUCAAUUGUAUAACCCAGUAUGAAUCACGUGGGCCCUUAGUGAGGCUGGCUACAACUAAAUCAACGUUCUUUUGAUAAUCGAUUGCCUAUGAAAGAAAUCAUCACGCCUUACACACAAUAGAAUAAAUUAAUAAGAAAGUAAGAAGAUUAGAAAGAAAAGCAUCUUAGAGGAAGGGUUUUUUUUUUUUUAACUUCUUGGUGGUGACACUGGAUGGGCUUUUGAUAAUUGUACGACGAAUUUAAAAUUAAUGUUUUAAAAUACGGUAUUAAAAAAUAUUUUCAAAUUUAUGGUACUUUUUACCACUUUGAAACAUGUUUCUUAAAAAAGCAUAUUUCAUCGUUUUUAUAUUAAUGAUACACAUUCAAAAAAAAAAAAAUUAAAGGUGUCUUUUUGAAAUAUAUUUUUCAUAAUUUUUAUAUCAAUAACACACAUUAAAAAAUUUUGAAUUUAUAUUAAAAGUGUCUCUUCAAAAAACACAUUUUAUAAUUCCAUAAAAUUAAAUUUAUAUUAAAAGUGUCUUUUAAAGAUAUACUUUUUACAAUUUUCAUAUCAGUUAUAUAGUGAAAAAAUUGAAUUUAUAUUAAACAUAUUUCUUUAAAAGACAUUUUCUACAAUUUCAUAAAAUUAAAUUUAUAUUAAAGGUAUCUCUUUCAAUAAUUUUUGUAUCAAUCAUCCAUUGAAAUAAUUGAAUUUAUACUAAAAAUAUCUUUUUAAAAGACACCAUCCAUAAUUUCAUAAAAUUAAAUUUAUAUUGAAAUGUUUCUCUUUAUACUUUUAAUAUAAAUUUAAUUUUUUUAUAGGUGAUUAAUAUAAAAAUUAUGAAAAGUAUUUAUUUAAAAAAUAUUUAUUAUAAAUUCAAUUUUAUAGAAUUAUAAAGACGUCUUCAACGUAAAUUCAAUUAUUUUUUCAAUGUGUAAUUGAUAUGAACAUUAUGAAAAAUGUCCUUCAAAAGACACUUUUAGUAUAAAUUUGAUUUUAUGGUAUUAUUAAAAGUAUAUUUCUUUAAUAUAAAUUCAAUUUUUUAACAUGUAUAACUAAUGAAAAAUUAUAAAAAAAUUAUAUUUUGAAGAGAUAUCUUUAAUAUAAAUUCAAUUUUUUAACAUGUAUAACUAAUGAAAAAUUAUAAAAAAAAUUAUAUUUUGAAGAGAUAUCUUUAAUAUAAAUUCAAUUUUAUAGAAUUAUAAAAGAUAUCUAUUGAAAAAAUACUUUUAACAUGUAUCAUUGAUAUGAAAAAUAUAGAAAAUAUCUUUUCAAAAAACACUUUUUAAAAUGGUAAAAAGUACCAUAAAUUUAUCAAAAGUUUUAUAACUAUCAUAGAAAUUUUUUUCAAAAGUUCCAUUUUUUAAUAAUUAUUUUUUUAAAUAGCCGUACAAGUUAUAUAAAAAAAAACCCGAUACUCCAUAAAAUGUGAUCAAGUAGGAUUUGCAUCAUGCAACCUCAUACAAAUAAUAAAAAGCAUAAAUCACUUGAAACUUGAAAGUGAUUGGAAUUUGGCAGACUCUAGCUAGCUAGGUUGCCAUAAAUGACAUGGGUCAGUGGCCGACACCCACCAAACCCAGCACUUAAUAAUAUAAUUAAUAUACUAUUAUUAUAGAACCAUCGUUUUCAGGAUAGGGAGCAUCAAAUUAACCUCCCCAAGUCAAACUGCACAAUUUGUUUCAUCGAAAUCGAAUAUCUAAUAAUGAAUGAUUAUGGGUGAGAUUGCAAUCCGCCAAUCCUUUGCCUAGCUCUUUGAAAAUCAAUGAUGAUGCUUAGUAUUAAUAUUUUAUUUAUCUUUUUAAUAUGAAAAUAAAAAUAUCAAAAUAAUUUUAAACUUUUUUCGUGGAGAUAAUGCUCCCCAGUUAAGCUGCUUAUAAGGUAUAAAUUAAUAAUAACCUUUUAAUUUUAAUAAAAGCAAUUUGAUACAUAUCACAUCUUAAUUCACUUGAGUAAUAACUAUUUAAGAUUGGAUUUAGGUUAACUUAGAUUAAUUAGAUUGUAUUCAGGUUAAUUAAACCAUAAUCAUAUUAUUAUCAACAAUUUCUCACAACUAUCCUAUUUUUAAUAUGAAUUAUUCCUAGUUCUCAAAUUAUUGUUUAGGUAGUUUUAUUAUCUUAAAAAACAUCUUUUUUUGUCAUUGGUUCUGCAUGGUUAUUAAAUAAGAAAAUUAUAAUUAUCUUAUCAACUAAUUUGAAGACUUUUCACAAAUUCAUACUUUAAAAACCUCUUUCUUUGUCGUGGGUCCCUACAUGGUUAUUAAAUAAUAAAAUUGUAAUAAUUUUAUCAAUUAAUUUGAAGACUUUUCACAAAUUUAUACAAUACUAGUUAUCGGAAAUGUGUCACAAAGAAGAUGCCAAGCUAAAAGCAAAUCAUGAUUCAUUAUUUUUUUUCCCAAUUGGAGCUCGAUGACCCAAUCCGAAUGCAUUAACAUCAAAAUUAGUGUUUUAUACUAUUUUCAAUGAACCUUGUCAACAUGAUCGUGAAAUGAUUUAUGAUUAUUUUCAAUAAACCUUUCAUCGAAACUAUGUGUAGAACUGCAUGAAUAAAUAAGAAAUUUUCAUAGUUACAGAUUUGCAUUAUCUCACUCUAUAUGAUUUUAUAUAGUUUUUUUUUUAAUACUUCUGCAACAUUUCUUUAGAAAAAAUAUUGUAUCAAUAAAUUCAGUAAUUUUCAUCAAUUUCAAUCUUAUAAUUAAAUGAUACUUCUGUCAUGUAUAUCACCAUACGUGUCACACUUCAUUCAAGAUCAGGUUGAUUAGUCAUGUAUACCUGCUCCAUUAAUAAAGUAUUAAGUUUUUAUUUUAUUUUAUUAAAAUAAUAAAUAAAUAAUAUAAUUUUUUUUUAUUAGAGGUAGUUAGGUAUCAUUAAAUGAUUUGUUGUCCUGCCAUGUCCCCAAUUAAUAAUUUUAUACUUUUCAUUUUUUUCAAAGGAUUUAAAAUAUAAAAUAUUAAAGAUAAAAUAUCUGAAAGUACCGCUUCCAUACCCAAUCAAAUUUUAAAUCUAAAUUAUUGACAUGUGAGUGAAAUUUGGACUAUUAAAUAAAAAGUGAAAAAAAAAUAAAAUAAUAAAUAAUUAAAAAUGUUCCUGCAAGGAGAUGUGACUAAGGUUAAAAAAGGAGGGGAUAAGGAGCGGCUAGGAAUAUGUAAACAAAAUUCAAAUAAUUAAAAAACGAAAUGAUAACUUCUCAAUGAAAUUGAAUGUUUCAGUUCUAAAAUCCAAAACAAAAACUAUAGUGAAAGAAAAAUUUGAGAAAAUAUAGCAUGGUCUUCUCUUUAAUGAUUGAUAAAUAUUUAUAUAUAAAUAAAGUUUAUUUUCCAUUAUAAUUUAGAUUAGUCGAGUCUUGUUUUCUACUCAAAUUCAAACUUCACAUUUUGUUAUAAUUUAAUCUAAUAAUAAUUGUUUUCACAAGACAAGCUGAAGUUAUCCAUUAAAAUACAACUUUUAAUUAAUAGUUUAAAAAAUAAGAUAAAUUUGAAAAUAAUUUUAAAAUUUAAUAAGUAUAUAUAUUUUUAAAUAGCAUUUUUUUUUUUAAAUUGCCAAAUCUAUGCUCAGAAAAGAUCCACAAAAGUUGAUCAACAAAAGAUACCGAACAGGAAGUAGAUGAUAAUCCAUUAUUUUCUUCUUUAUUAAAGUUUGACAACCCAAUCUGAAUUCAUUAACGUGAAAAGCAGUGUUGUAUGCUCAUUUUCAAUGAACCUUGUCAACAUGCACGUCAAAAACAAUGAUUUAUUAACUACGUACAUGUAGAAUUCCAUGGGAAAAAAAAAAAUACAAUUAAGGCCUUGGGAGAUGAAUAAAAGCUUAACCUAAAAUUCAAAAUUCUCAAAACCAUGUUUUUUCACACCAAAAUGUUUCAUCCAGCCAACCUAAGACCGAUUGAAUCCUCCCUCUAAAGCACAUUGCCCAAGAUUACAGGCAACGUAGUAAUUACCUAAGCAAGUACGUCAGAAUCAUAGCAAUUUUUACCAAAGUGGGUAUCGGGAAGGAGCUUUGCCUAAUUCAUUCUUCGACAAGGUUAUCUACUUCCUCUCGUCACUGCCUUCUGUUUGAAUCAUUUGUAGUUAGUUUUAUCAAUCCAGCUAGUGUUAUUAUCAGAAAAACAUGGCUCUAACUGCUAAAGUGGAGACUGAAACAGAGAUCAAAGCACCUGCUGAUAAGUUCUUUAAACUCUUCAGGAGCCAAGCACACCACCUUCCUAAUAUCUGCUCCGAUAAAAUACACAAAAUCGAGGUACAUGAAGGUGACUGGGAGACUCAGGGCUCCGUCAAGCAUUGGAGUUACACCAUUGGUAUGACAUGCAACUCAAACUAAGAACCCCAAAACACUAGCGUUAUAUUCUGUUAAUUAAAAUAAUUUUUGAUGUUUUUGUUUCAUUUCAUUGUUGUUUUCUUCUCCUUUCAAUUAUUCUUUUAGAAUAAUAAACGCAUGCGUCUUUGUACAUUUUUUUUCUUGCAAAUAAGUGAUCGGGUCUGGGCCGCUAGUGACUAUGAUGGUUCUUAGUAAUGUACAUGACAUCUAAUAAUAGCUUCAACAUAUUCCAAUUAUGUUUAACCUCACAUUUUGGUUUUAACUAGGUGGGAAUUCUCAGAGUAUUAAAGAGACUGUGGAAUCAAUAGAUGAAGAAAACAGGUCCAUCACGUUCAAGGUUUUGGAUGGGGAGGUGCUGAAAGAAUACAAGAGCUACAAGUUCACCGCACAAGCGAUACCAAAGGGGGAGGGCAGCUUGGUGAUAUGGACCAUCGAAUAUGAGAAGGCAAGUGAGGGUGGCCCAGAUCCCCAUAACUACCUAGAGUUUGCAGUUAAUAUCACCAAAGAUAUCGAAAGUCACCUUCUCAAUGCAUAACACCAAGGUCAUAUCUACCCUUUGCUAGUAUCUCGCUCGUAAAUAAAGUUUGGACCUUGGAAGUCCAUCUACGUACGAUCUCUAUCUUUCAAUAAACGCAAAUUCCAGGU